UUAAGCGACUAAGCGUACACGGUGGAUGCCCUGGCAGUCAGAGGCGAUGAAGGACGUGCUAAUCUGCGAUAAGCGUCGGUAAGGUGAUAUGAACCGUUAUAACCGGCGAUUUCCGAAUGGGGAAACCCAGUGUGUUUCGACACACUAUCAUUAACUGAAUCCAUAGGUUAAUGAGGCGAACCGGGGGAACUGAAACAUCUAAGUACCCCGAGGAAAAGAAAUCAACCGAGAUUCCCCCAGUAGCGGCGAGCGAACGGGGAGCAGCCCAGAGCCUGAAUCAGUAUGUGUGUUAGUGGAAGCGUCUGGAAAGGCGCGCGAUACAGGGUGACAGCCCCGUACACAAAAAUGCACAUGCUGUGAGCUCGAUGAGUAGGGCGGGACACGUGGUAUCCUGUCUGAAUAUGGGGGGACCAUCCUCCAAGGCUAAAUACUCCUGACUGACCGAUAGUGAACCAGUACCGUGAGGGAAAGGCGAAAAGAACCCCGGCGAGGGGAGUGAAAAAGAACCUGAAACCGUGUACGUACAAGCAGUGGGAGCACGCUUAGGCGUGUGACUGCGUACCUUUUGUAUAAUGGGUCAGCGACUUAUAUUCUGUAGCAAGGUUAACCGAAUAGGGGAGCCGAAGGGAAACCGAGUCUUAACUGGGCGUUAAGUUGCAGGGUAUAGACCCGAAACCCGGUGAUCUAGCCAUGGGCAGGUUGAAGGUUGGGUAACACUAACUGGAGGACCGAACCGACUAAUGUUGAAAAAUUAGCGGAUGACUUGUGGCUGGGGGUGAAAGGCCAAUCAAACCGGGAGAUAGCUGGUUCUCCCCGAAAGCUAUUUAGGUAGCGCCUCGUGAAUUCAUCUCCGGGGGUAGAGCACUGUUUCGGCAAGGGGGUCAUCCCGACUUACCAACCCGAUGCAAACUGCGAAUACCGGAGAAUGUUAUCACGGGAGACACACGGCGGGUGCUAACGUCCGUCGUGAAGAGGGAAACAACCCAGACCGCCAGCUAAGGUCCCAAAGUCAUGGUUAAGUGGGAAACGAUGUGGGAAGGCCCAGACAGCCAGGAUGUUGGCUUAGAAGCAGCCAUCAUUUAAAGAAAGCGUAAUAGCUCACUGGUCGAGUCGGCCUGCGCGGAAGAUGUAACGGGGCUAAACCAUGCACCGAAGCUGCGGCAGCGACGCUGAUGCGUUGUUGGGUAGGGGAGCGUUCUGUAAGCCUGUGAAGGUGUGCUGUGAGGCAUGCUGGAGGUAUCAGAAGUGCGAAUGCUGACAUAAGUAACGAUAAAGCGGGUGAAAAGCCCGCUCGCCGGAAGACCAAGGGUUCCUGUCCAACGUUAAUCGGGGCAGGGUGAGUCGACCCCUAAGGCGAGGCCGAAAGGCGUAGUCGAUGGGAAACAGGUUAAUAUUCCUGUACUUGGUGUUACUGCGAAGGGGGGACGGAGAAGGCUAUGUUGGCCGGGCGACGGUUGUCCCGGUUUAAGCGUGUAGGCUGGUUUUCCAGGCAAAUCCGGAAAAUCAAGGCUGAGGCGUGAUGACGAGGCACUGCGGUGCUGAAGCAACAAAUGCCCUGCUUCCAGGAAAAGCCUCUAAGCAUCAGGUAACAUCAAAUCGUACCCCAAACCGACACAGGUGGUCAGGUAGAGAAUACCAAGGCGCUUGAGAGAACUCGGGUGAAGGAACUAGGCAAAAUGGUGCCGUAACUUCGGGAGAAGGCACGCUGAUAUGUAGGUGAAGUCCCUCGCGGAUGGAGCUGAAAUCAGUCGAAGAUACCAGCUGGCUGCAACUGUUUAUUAAAAACACAGCACUGUGCAAACACGAAAGUGGACGUAUACGGUGUGACGCCUGCCCGGUGCCGGAAGGUUAAUUGAUGGGGUUAGCGCAAGCGAAGCUCUUGAUCGAAGCCCCGGUAAACGGCGGCCGUAACUAUAACGGUCCUAAGGUAGCGAAAUUCCUUGUCGGGU
rnacentral:rRNA from 1 species